AGACGUAGGGGGCGAGCGUUGUCCGGAAUUACUGGGCGUAAAGGGCGUGUAGGCGGCUUUUCAAGUCGGCUGUGAAAUUCCCCGGCUUAACCGGGGGGGUGCAGUCGAAACUGAUGGGCUUGAGUGCAGGAGAGGGUGGUGGAAUUCCCGGUGUAGCGGUGACAUGCGUAGAUAUCGGGAGGAACACCGGUGGCGAAGGCGACCUCCUGGCCUGUUACUGACGCUGAGGCGCGAAAGCUGGGGGAGCAAACAGGAUUAGAUACCCUGGUAGUCCCAGCUGUAAACUCUGGGUACUAGGUGUGGGGGGCUUCGAUGCCCUCUGUGCCGUAGUUAACGCAUUAAGUACCCCGCCUGGGGAGUACGAUCGCAAGGUUGAA
rnacentral:rRNA from 1 species